UCUUGACUAGUAUAUCGGUUAGUACACGCGCUUGUCAUUCGUAUACGGCAUCUAUAUACGCGCGAAAGCUGGGUUCGACUCCCAGGUCGAGAG